UUGGCAUGGAUUACAAAGCUUUGGGCACAG
rnacentral:piRNA from 1 species